rnacentral:lncRNA from 1 species
CUAUAUAUAGCUGACUAAACUUAGGAAAUUCACCUUCUCCAGGUUUCAAACUUCCCAUCUGGUGGUAAUUCUCUCCUUGUAUCUGAAACAUAUUAGGACCCCUUCCCGCUGUAACAGAAUUAUCACACUUACCCCCAAGAGAAGUAAAUGAAAAAAUCAUGUUAUAUGCUCGGAUGUUCUCUCUAAAGUGUCUACUCAUGUCAUCAUCAUUGGUUAGCAAAGCAAAUAACAGUUCUGGUUGAUUAUGGAGGAAAGGCAGUUUCACAGAUCCUUGCAGACAACAUUGAGUAAAAAUUGGUUUACGAACUUUCUUAUGUCUGUUGAUGCGUUCGCCAUACCACAUAAUAGCACCGCAGUAGGAACAUGAGUAGACAGGAUCUCCAUGAUCUAGAUACUCUACAAUAACGGGAAUAAGUUUAGCAUAAGUAAAGUUUGUGUAAGAAAAGAAUUAGAAAUAAACCAAUGAUGUAGUACCUGUGUUUUUGUUCUUUCUGCUAGAAACAUUAGGAGUUUUUAUUUCUCCAAAAGCUUUGGUCAAACUUUCAUCUAACAUUGAUAAAAACUCAUAUCUUUGUUUGACUUCGAUUGGGAUAUCGUCUAUGGUUUCAUAAUCUUCAGAUGUUUCUGAAUCAUUUUCAUCUGGACUACUACACUCGUAAACCUGUUCACGUGUUUCCUCCAAAUCACUUAUCAUAGUUUUUUCCCCUGAUUAGUGGAUGCUUUAUUAAGUUUAGAAAAUAUAUCAUAAUGAUUUUUACUUACUCAUAUUAAUAUAUGUUUCUUCCUUUGAAUUCAGGAUCUCAUCAGAGUCUUCUUCGAUUGUUGUAUCAUAACUCUUGUGAGAUGUUUUCUUCUCCUUUGCCAAAGACUUUGGGAACCUCAGAUUGAUUCUUGAAUUGGUAAGUAUAAUACCCUUAGCAGCUUCAUGAAAUAAACAUUACUCCAUCAGUGUUGAUCUAUUAAUACUUUUUAUGUAAUAGUUUCAUAUUAUUGAGAGGCAUGUAUACCUUGUUUGCUAUUAACAGAUGGUGGACUCCACUUUUUCCCCUUUUUUUCUGGUGGCUUAUGUGGAUUAAGUGGAGUUUGGUGAACCUCGCUGUGAAGCUGUGAUGUAUUAAUAAUGUUCUGCACAUCUUGAAAAGGUCUUCUCUGUGUCCUUGCUGUUUUUUUGCCUGAUCUUACACUCGUAUUAUAAGUAACUGUAGAUGCAAAUCCUAUACAUUAUGAUUAUUUAUUAGUUAGCAUCAUAUGUAGAUGCUAUAUUGUUGGAAUAUAAAUGUUUACAUACCUUGUGUUUCCUUUUGUAUGGCUGCAGAAGAAGAAGGACCAGUUACUGUCUGUAAGGCUUCAGAAUCACACUGCUGGGCUGGUAUGUUACCUAUUCCAGAUCUCAAUCGAUUAAAAAUCCCUUUUACUUGAACAUCACUCCUAUCUUGUUGGUUCUGUAGAUUUGGAUUUAUGUUUUCAUCAUGUAGCUGAGACCUAGAACGCUUUGUGUUAGGUGUCUGCAUUACAUUGUUAUUUUCUUUUACUGUUUCAUUUUUUCUUCUCUUCAUUCUGAAAAACAAAAUAGAAUUGUUAGAAAAAUAAUUCCAAUUAUGUCAUUUGUCAAUGAACAUGUUAUAUGUUGAAAGAUAUUAAAAGACUGACCUUAUAGUUGUUUCUUUGCUAAUGAGGCGAGUAGCUGUAGAUUAGGAAUGAAGGUGUAAAAUGGUUAUGUAAUGAUUAUAAAGAAAUCGUCUCAGCCUUAUUUAGUGUGAUAGCAUUAAACUGAAAAGAUUACAGAAUAUAUUUUCUUUUCCAUAUUCAUAAUAAAAUCUAAUUGAUUGAUUCUUAUUUUUAGCAUAGAAUCUUGUAUAUUAAUAGGUUAAAUAUGCCAGUUUGGUCGUGAAAACAGUUGUUAUACUACAACAAUGAACCCUUUUAAAACUGAUUUAUCUAUACUGCUAUACUAUUCCAAUUUGUUAACGAUUUAGAAUAGGAGAAAGAUUUUAAUAGCUUAAGAUCUUUAAAAUAUUUGCACAUAUGCCCUUUAAAAUAUAUGUACUUAUAUAUCUCACAUAUUAAUUAAGUUAGCCAUUUAUAGUAUAGAUAUCGUCAGAUUAGUAUAGAUUCAUCGCAGUCUCUCAAUGUUUGUUACUAAUAUGUGUUUUCUUUUAUCUGCAGUGUUAGCUACAGUUAUGGGGCUUAUAUAUGAAAAUUCAUCAAUACAAAGCACAA